GUAAAUAAAUGGAUUGCUGGAGUGUAUAUUAUUCUAUAAGGCAUUCUAAAAUUAAGGACAAAUUAAGUGUUAGAAAAUAAAAGACAAUAUAAAAACUAUGAAUUGUGGAGUUGAAAGGAAAUAUGGCGUUUCAUGUGCUGCCAAAAAUUGUAAUAGCCGGCAGUCUAAUACUCAAUUGAGUUUUUUUCGAUUUCCAAAGGAUAUUGAUAGAGCAAAAAUAUGGGCAUUGGCCUGUAACAGAGAGGAUUUGUUUGAUAGGUUAAAUUCGUUGAAUCAAAGCCACCGAUUGUGCAGUAUACAUUUUGAAAAAAAAAUGUACAUGAAUAAGGAGUGCAAACGAUUAAUCCACAAUGCAGUUCCAACUUUAUUUGCUUGUUUGGAAGGUGGUUCAAAAUUUGUUGACCACACAUACAGUCGUCAUCCACUCGUAACAGUUAGGAUAGAAAAUAAGGAAAACGAAGCCUAGCAGUACAAUUACCCUGGUCUAGUCACUACUAAGAAAGAAUGAAGUAAGUCAUACUUUUCAUCCAUUUUACUGAAUUUCUGCCUAGUAGUCUUUGAUGGAUCUCCAUUAUGAUAUAUGGAGAAUAAUAAAACAUAAUUUAUCUACUUUUUUUUGCGAAACCAUACUGUGACAAUAUUUGUUUCAAUCAUAAUGUACCUGAAGUUCCGAACGUUCGUUUGAACGAAAAUUAAAACCCAUAAUAUCACGUUUAAUCGUACUUAAAAUGAUUUUACCACCUAAAUUCUGGCUUCUGUAGACGAAAACAACACCUCCCCAUCAUCAGAAGCCACCCCCCAUAUUAACCACCCUUAAAACAUAGAUACAUGUAUUUCAGAAAAUGAGUCCUGUACCACCCUAAAUUUGACAUAGGUUGUUAACAUUACUUUUAUACUGACUUUCUUGCCACCGGAAUCCACCCCGUCAGCUACCCUUAAAUCAGUUGUGUAUUAUUUCCCCGGUAUCAGGCUUAAAACCAUAAUAGAUUUUAAGGAAAUUGUUAAAAUUAUAUUUAUAAUGACUUAUGAUAACUAUUAAUACCAACUACCCCUAAAUCAGUUGUGCAGUACGUACAUGAUAUCAAGCUUAAAGCCAUAACAGAUUUUAAGUAAAUUGUUAACGUUACACUUAUAUUGUCUUAUAAUAACUAUAUAUAUAAAAUACACAACUGAUUUAAGCGUAGUUGACGGGGUGGAUUCCGGUGGCAGCAAUCGGUAUCAAUAGUUGUUAUAAGUCAAUAUAAAUAUAAUUUUAACAAUUUACUUAAAAUCCAUAUUGGCUUUAAGCUCGAUACCGGAGAUAUAAUACACAAGUGAUUUAAGGGUAGUUGAUGGGGUGGAUUCCGGUGGCAGCAAUCGGUAUCAAUAGUUGUUAUAAGUCAAUAUAAAUAUAAUUUUAACAAUUUACUUAAAAUCUAUUAUGGCUUUCUGCCUUAUAUAGGGGAUAUACGAUAUUACCUGUUUAAGGGUAGUUGACAGGGUGGGUUCUAAUGACAAUGAAGGGCAAUAAAAGUAGUUAUAAAUCAGUAUAGAUGUUAUGUUAAAAUUUUAACUCAAAUUUAAAGUGAUAGCAGGCCUGUUAUUUGGAUUAGAAUACUUGACCCUUUCAAGGGUAGUUCAUAGUGACAGAAUAAUUUUCAGUGACAACAAAGGGUGACAAUAAUUUUUGUAAAUGGAAAUAAAUAAAACGUUAACUUUUUUAAUUAAAUUUAACGUGGAUUUUUGAGCUUGAUUGGAGAUAUAAGGUAUAUCAGUUUUAAGAGUUGUUGACGAGGUGUGUUCCGAUAGUAAAAAAAAGGCCCGAAUGUUUUUUUAAAAAUCAGUAUAAAAGUAAUGUUAACAACCUGUUUAGAAUAGAUUUUGUAUUUGUUGUCAAAGCAAACCGUUGCCGGUGUUCGAGCCACCGCGCUUCCCACCCUGUAACAUGAGCUCCCUGCGCGGAGCAAAUAAAGUUUUAGUUUGUCUCUAGCUGUGGUAGAGAACGGUUGUACACGAAGUUCAAAUAAAGAUACAGUCCACUACGUCUUGUUAUUGAUAUUACCAGUAAAACACAAAAACAUUUGGACCUUUGCCCGGAUAAGGUCUUCAUAGCUGCAGUGUGAUUAGCCUGAGGUCGUAGUUUCAAUAGCGCUGGGUCAUCUCGAGCAGCCAGCCGUCCGCCACCCUUAGCAACAAGCACGAGACAUCUGCAGUCGAGGUCACGCAUUCAAUCAUUAUUUGCCGAAAACCAGUCAUUCGCGGGAUUUAGACUGUCUCUGCUGUUCUUGUCACGGGUUAACAAGGUUGUAUCGUCGGCAAAGAGUAUACAAGAAGCAUUACGAAUGUUAACAG